CCUACGGGUGGCAGCAGUGAGGAAUAUUGGUCAAUGGACGCAAGUCUGAACCAGCCAUGCCGCGUGCAGGAAGACGGCUCUAUGAGUUGUAAACUGCUUUUGUACGAGGGUAAACGCAGAUACGCGUAUCUGUCUGCACGUAUCGUACGAAUAAGGAUCGGCUAACUCCGUGCCAGCAGCCGCGGUAAUACGGAGGAUUCAAGCGUUAUCCGGAUUUAUUGGGGUUAACGGGUGCGUAGGCGGUCGGAUAAGUUAGAGGUGAAAUCCCGAGGCUCAACUUCGGAAUUGCCUCUGAUACUGUUCGGCUAGAGAGUAGUUGCGGUAGGCGGAAUGUAUGGUGUAGCGGUGAAAUGCUUAGAGAUCAUACAGAACACCGAUUGCGAAGGCAGCUUACCAAGCUACUUCUGACGUUGAGGCACGAAAGCGUGGGGAGCAAACAGGAUUAGAUACCCCUGUAGUC
rnacentral:rRNA from 1 species